UUUUCAUAUAAAAAAAUAACUCACAGGUCUCUUUAUUCUCACGCCGAGGCCGAGUUAAAGAAAACCCAACCGAGUUCAUCACAAAAUUCAAAUAAUCUCUCAGUAUCUCCUUCUUGCUAUUCCUCCAUUACAAAUACAAUCUAAGCGACAAUUCCACUUCUCUCAGCACUAACUAGGGUUCGCUAUUCCUCCUUUUUUCAUUCUCUCUACCCUACGCUCUUCCUCAUGGCUUAGGAAAGUCGUUGAAUUUCUCCAAUAUGUAUGGUCAAGGGAGUUUUAAUCCCCAGUCCGGUGGCCAAGGUUCUCAAACACCCAUUGCUCCUUCAUACUCUCACCGUCCGCCUCCUCUUCCUCACAAUUUCCAACUAGGCCCUCCUCCUCACACUGGUCAGCCAAGUUUGCCCCCGCCCCAACAUCUACUCGCACCUGGUGGGACGGCAAAUGCUGCCCAGUCUUGUUUACACUCUUCUACAACUGUUCGUGGAAUUGCUCCUUUCCAGCAUGUUUAUGCACCUGCGCAGCAUUCUUCCUAUUUAGCAUCGGGCCCUCCCCCUCCUCCUCCCUUUGGUUUGCAUCGUCUUGAAAUGUUACAGGCCCCGCUGCCUCCUAGAGGUUUACCUCCUCCUCCACCACCACCACCACCUUCUCAAGGUCAGAGGUUUUAUAAUUCGCUGCCACAACAGCUAGCUGGUGUGCAGGGUCUACAGCAUAUCCCCCCUCCACCUCCCCCACCUCUUCUUCCAACUUCCAGUUUCUCAUCAUCUGCUCCCUUUGGGAGUUUUGCUGAGUCUAAUGGUGCCAAUCCUCAAAUGCUUUCAAUGGCUUCCCUACCACCACCCCCACCCCCACCACCAACCUCUUCUGCACCGUUGAUUCCACCUUCUCCUCCUCAGUCUAACUCUCACAUGUUGCCAGUAUCUGCGCCUGUCCUAGCUGGUUCCUAUCCACUGCUUCACUCUGAUAUUGCUUCCAACUCCAGCAUACCUUCUGGUGAUAAAUUGGGCACUACUGGUUCUGUCAAUGAAGCUAUCCCUCUCAAUAAGGGUGGACAUAGUGUUCCUGUGCAUGAUGGCAACUUAUAUCUGGAAGGUGGAAGUGGCACUGAGGUAAAUUGUAAAUUGGAUGAAGCAAAGAAUUUUUCACAACCCAGUCAUUUGAUGGUUGCCGCUGGAUCCCACAUGUCUGCUGAUUCUGAUUCCGAUAUGGAGAUGGAAGAUGAUAUUACCCAGUCUGACAAUGACCAGGCAGCAAAUCAUCCUAUUGGAGAUUUAACUCACUGCAAUCAUUUGAUAGCUGGAGACUCUGAUAUAAGAGAGCAGUUGCGUGAACUGCAGAGUUCAGCACAAUCCGAUGCUGCCACAUUGGUUUUAUCAGUCCCUGGUUCCUCCAGGCUGGAUAAUGGUCAACAAGUUUCUGAAGUUCAUAGCCCAGUCAUUAAUUCAGCUGGAGCUGAUGAAAAAAGUUCAUCAAGGGCCAUGUCAGCUGCUGGAUGCGAGAAUUCUGAUAAGUAUUCUAGUGAAGUUUUAAAAGGCGGCAGCCCAUUCAGACUUCUGCAGGAUAAUGCUUCUGAGGAUAGCUCAGAAAAUAAUGAUGAGCCCUGUUUGAAAAAUACCAUUCCUCAAACUGCUUCAAAAUUAGUUACAGUUGGCUCUGAAGAUCUGCAGCAGCAACAGCCAUCCUAUUGUUUGAGUCACUUUGCUUCUGAUAAUGUGUAUGGUCUAUCUGGGAAGAUAGGUUCUUCAUCUGUGUUCCCACCAGAUAUUCUGGACUCAAAUCAGCUGUCUUGCCUGCCCAAUUUUGCAGUAUCAAAAAAUUCAACUCUCCCUAAUACUUAUCCAGCUAGUUUUGAGCUGCCGCUCAACUCCAAAUUCAGUUCUGAUGUUUUAAGACAAGAAAAGGUUGCAUCCUACACUAGUAUGUAUGAUCAAUCUUCAAGUUGGAACCAUAUUUCACUUGAUGGACAAGAUGCCAUUGUUCGAUCAAGACAGCCAAUCUCUUCUCCCAGUUCUGCUAGGGAUGUUGCACAAAUUAUUCCUAGGUCAGGUAGUGAUCAGUAUGAUCCAUUUUUGGACAGCAUUGAGCCAGCUUCAAACUCAUUUAAGAGACUUGACCACAUUCAGAAGUGGGAAUCCAAUAACACUGACAUUAUGCCGAGGCUUAGUGGCUCAGACAAAUCAUUGGAUGUCGAAGAAAACAAUAAGAAAGAGGUUAGAGGCAUUGCUCUUUCUACAUCCCUUGAUAAUGAGGAGUUUGGUGAGACUGCAGAUGCAGAAGUCGGUGAUGUUGAGGAUCAGAGCCAAAGUAAUCCUGUUGUAGUGAAUGUGAAUAUGGGUGAUAUGGAGAUCGAUCAGGUUAAGUCUCCAGGGAAGAGCAAAAAUAGCAAGGACUCCAGAUCAAUGAAGCUUUUCAAGGUUGCCCUUGCAGAUUUUGUGAAGGAGGUUUUAAAGCCAUCAUGGCAACAGGGUAACAUGAGCAAGGAAGCAUUUAAGACUAUUGUCAAGAAGACAGUUGAUAAGGUUGCAGGAGCGAUGAAGAGCCACCAAAUACCCAAGUCCAAGGUGAAAAUAGAUCAUUAUAUUGACUCAUCGCAAUGGAAAUUGACAAAACUUGUGAUGGGUUAUGUUGAUAAGUAUGCCAAAGGGUAAAAGUUGAUAUCAGGAUGGUUUCUGGUUGAAGGCAUUGAUUUUGCUUGCUUUGAGGGACUAUAGUGCCACUGGAGCUGCAAAACAACCUAGAAUUGGUCGUAGAGCUGUGAGAAUAGGUGGGAAAAAAAGAGAGCCGGUGUUAGUAGAUUCCUUCAUUUUGUGAAGUUUGCACCUGCCAGAAAAAGAAUAUAUUAAGGUCUAUGACCAGGUGAACUCAGUUACAGCGUAUUCCAACUUCAAGGAAAUUCUUAGGAGGCUCCAAAAUGUUCAUACUGCAAUAGAGAGGGCAUUGAGCAAUCCCUUUCAAGAGUUUAUCUUAACAAACAUGAUUCCCAGUGUUGGAGCAGAACCGUUCUCCAGAGCUUACAGUCAGUCUAGUUAGCAGUAACCUCUCGGGUGAGAUCUUAUGGCUUGUUCAUGUUUUCUGUUCUGUGAGUAGCAUCUUUCAGUAGAAUUGGAUUGGUAUAGUUACCAAUGAGAUUAAUGACUUCAUUGAGUUACAAGAUUGAGAUUUAUUAAUUUAUUUUGAAUGCAUGAGAUGUCAAUAUGUUGUCUCUCUUUAUUCCUUCCCUGGUGAUGCAUACAUGUGAAGAAUGAACUAUGCUGACAUAGUGUUGCUUAAAUCGUAGUUGAGAAAUUGGAACUAAAAAGAACAAAAAGAUUUAAAUACAUAUAAAAGAGGCCUUUCCUUUUUAUUUAAAUUUUAGAAGGAAAAAAAAGCCUUCCUUUUGUUUUCAUGACAUAACGCAGAUAUCUUGUCAAUUUUCCUUUGUGCCUAGUAGUCAAUCUGAUAUUGUGCUGGCUUCCUUCUUUUAGUUUCUAAUUCAUGACAUAGCUAGGAUGUCUUGUCAAUUAAUACUUCUUGCUCUGCCUGUGUUAUCGAAUUGUAUUUUCGGAUGAGGAAUAAUCAUGAGAAUUGUGAAUGGUUGAUUGGGCUGCAAGAUGAAAUCGAGUUACUUUCAGUAAGGUAUUGUAUUUGUGCUUUGACAAUGAACUGAAAUUUUUUUACCUAAUCGGGUUUGUUCAAUGAAGCUCAAGCUAUGAAUUUGUAGAAUGUUUUUCAACUGUGGUGGAGCUCAUCAUGCGAACCACUUGUUAUUACUCCUUACACAAAGGGAAAAGGAAACCCUUUGGAGUGAUGUGGGGAUUGGGGGGAGAUUUACAUUUGGCCGUUCUCUGUAAAAAUAUUUCAGUUGAAGGACCUGUUGGGCAUGCAUUUGAAUCGUCAGGCCUUUCGUUUCUUUUCUUUUCUUUUUAUCGAAUUGUAUUAUUAAGCUGUUACUAGAUGGUUUCUGUCAGAUUUCUUCCUUAUUAUAUUAUUUGCUCUAGAAUAAGAAGUGUUGCUAGAA